rnacentral:rRNA from 1 species
CUAAGAUAGUAAGAGCAUACGGUGGAUGCCUUGGCGAUAUCUGCCGAUGAAGGACGCGACAAGCUGCGAAAAGCUGCGGAGAGGUGCAAAUGACCAUUGACCCGCAGAUCUCCGAAUGGAGCAAUCCGGCAGGGUUUAUCCCCUGUCACCCAUAUCUUCGAAUAUGGGAGGGAACCGGGCGAACUGAAACAUCUAAGUAGCCCGAGGAAGAGUAAUCAAACGAGAUACCCCAAGUAGCGGCGAGCGAACGGGGCCUAAGCCCAAACCGGUGAAGGAAACUUUGCCGGGGUUGAGGACUGCCAUACGAACUAGCCCAUUAGCCGAAAUUCCUGGGAAGGAAUGCCGAAGAAUGUGAAAGCCAUGUAAGCGAAAAUGGAAAAGGGACAGGCAGCACCAGAGUACCGCGGGACACGAGAAACCCCGUGGGAAGCCGGGGGGACCACCCUCCAAGGCAAAACACAGAUAUCGACCGAUAGCGCAUAGUACCAUGAGGGAAAGGUGAAAAGCACCCCGGGAGGGGAAUGAAAUAGAACCUGAAACCGUAUGUUUACAAGCAGUCGAAGACCGCUUAAUAAUAAGGUCAACGGCGUGCCUAUUGAAGAAUGAACCGGCGAGUUAUGAGGUCCAGCAAGGUUAAGCAGGAAAUGCGGAGCCGAAGCGAAAGCGAGUCUUAAUAGGGCGACAAGUUGGAUUGCAUAGACCCGAAACCACAGUGAUCUACCCAUGUCCAGGCUGAAGCACAGGUAAAAAUGUGUGGAGGGCCGAACCUAUAUCCGUUGAAAAGGGUUAGGAUGAGGUGUGGGUAGGGGUGAAAUUCCAAUCGAACGUGGAGAUAGCUGGUUCUCCCCGAAAUAGCUUUAGGGCUAGCCUCGAGGUAGAGAUUGCAGGCGGUAGAGCACUGAUCAGGAGAGGGGCCUACCCGGCUACCAAACCCAGUCAAACUACGAAUGGCUGCAAUUAUACUCGGGAGUCAGACUACGACUUAUAAGGGCCGUGGUCAAAAGGGAAACAGCCCAGAUCAUCAGCUAAGGUCCCAAAUGCCGUGCUAAGUGGCGAAGGAUGUGGCGUUUCAUAAACAACCAGGAUGUUGGCUCAGAAGCAGCCACCAUUUAAAGAGUGCGUAAUAGCUCACUGGUCGAGAGACGCUGCGCCGAAAAUGUCCGGGGCUCAAGCACGGAACCGAAGCUAUGGCAUUGACUAUGUCAAUGGGUAGGGGAGCGUUCUUAACAGGAAGAAGCAUGACCGAAAGGACAUGUGGACCGUUAAGAAGUGAGAAUGCCGGUAUGAGUAUCGAAAAGAAAGGUGAGAAUCCUUUCCACCGAAAGCCCGAGGGUUCCUGAGCAACGAUCGUCGUCUCAGGGUAAGUCGGGACCUAAGCCGAGGCGGAGACGCAUAGGCGAUGGACAACAGGUUGAAAUUCCUGUACCGGAUACAAUCGUUUGAGCGAUGGAGCGACGCAGAAAGGCAUAUGAUCGCGCGACUGGAAGAGCGCGUCCAAGUGCGUAUGUUGAAUCGGAGGCAAAUCCCUGAUUCUGAAAGCAGAGACACGAUGGGGAGUUAUACGAAAGUAUGACGAACUCAUAGAUCCUACACUGCCAAGAAAAACUUCUAGUGAGAAAGUAUCCGCCCGUACCGUAAACCGACACAGGUAGGCGGGGAGAGAAUCCUAAGGUGCGCGGGAAAACCCUCGUUAAGGAACUCGGCAAAUUGCAUCCGUAACUUAGGGAGAAGGAUGACCUUAAGUAAGCGAAAGGGAGAAACCCCUGGAACAGAACAAGGUGGCAGAAAAGAGGCCCAAGCAACUGUUUACCAAAAACACAGGUGCCUGCGAAAGCGAAAGCUGAAGUAUAGGUGCUGACGCCUGCCCGGUGCUGGAAGGUUAAGGAGAGAUGUCAGAGCAAUCGAAGCAUUGAACUGAAGCCCCAGUGAACGGCGGCCGUAACUAUAACGGUCCUAAGGUAGCGAAAUUCCUUGUCAGGUAAG